rnacentral:rRNA from 1 species
UGCCAGCAGCCGCGGUAAUACGGAGGGUCCAAGCGUUAUCCGGAUUUAUUGGGUUUAAAGGGUGCGCAGGCGGAUGUUUAAGUUUCAUGUGAAAGCCCUGGGCUCAACCUGGGAAUUGCAUUCGAUACUGCUUAGCUAGAGUAUGAGAGAGGGUAGUGGAAUUCCGGGUGUAGCGGUGAAAUCCGUAGAUAUUCGGAGGAACACCAGUGGCGAAGGCGGCUUUCUGGACCGAUACUGACGCUGAGACGCGAAAGCGUGGGGAGCAAACAGGAUUAGAUA